UACAGAGGGUGGCGAACGUUGCUCGGAAUUACUGGGCGUAAAAGCGCGUGUAGGCGGGUCGCAAGUCAGGCGUGAAAUCCCCAAGGCUCAACCUGGGGAACUGACGCUUGAAACUGCCGGUCUUUGAGUGUCGGAGAGGGUGGCGGAAUUCCUGGUGUAGAGGUGGAAAUUCGUAGAUAUCAGGAGGAACACCGGUGGCGAAGGCGGGCCAC
rnacentral:rRNA from 1 species